AGUAACGGCGAGUGAAGCGGCAACAGCUCAAAUUUGAAAUCUGGCUCUUUCAGAGUCCGAGUUGUAAUUUGCAGAGGGCGCUUUGGCUUUGGCAGCGGUCCAAGUUCCUUGGAACAGGACGUCACAGAGGGUGAGAAUCCCGUACGUGGUCGCUAGCUAUUGCCGUGUAAAGCCCCUUCGACGAGUCGAGUUGUUUGGGAAUGCAGCUCUAAAUGGGAGGUAAAUUUCUUCUAAAGCUAAAUAUUGGCCAGAGACCGAUAGCGCACAAGUAGAGUGAUCGAAAGAUGAAAAGCACUUUGGAAAGAGAGUCAAACAGCACGUGAAAUUGUUGAAAGGGAAGCGCUUGCAGCCAGACUUGCUUGCAGUUGCUCAUCCGGGCUUUUGCCCGGUGCACUCUUCUGUAGGCAGGCCAGCAUCAGUUUGGGCGGUGGGAUAAAGGUCUCUGUCACGUACCUCUCUUCGGGGAGGCCUUAUAGGGGAGACGACAUACCACCAGCCUAGACUGAGGUCCGCGCAUCUGCUAGGAUGCUGGCGUAAUGGCUGUAAGCGGCCCGUCUUGAAACACGGACCAAGGAGUCUAACAUCUAUGCGAGUGUUUGGGUGUCAAGCCCGAGCGCGUAAUGAAAGUGAACGGAGGUGGGAACCCGCAAGGGUGCACCAUCGACCGAUCCUGAAGUUUACGGAAGGAUUUGAGUAAGAGCAUGGCUGUUGGGACCCGAAAGAUGGUGAACUAUGCUUGAAUAGGGUGAAGCCAGAGGAAACUCUGGUGGAGGCUCGCAGCGGUUCUGACGUGCAAAUCGAUCGUCAAAUUUGGCAUAGGGCGAAAGACUAAUCG
rnacentral:rRNA from 1 species